GAUGAACGCUGACAGAAUGCUUAACACAUGCAAGUCUACUUGAAUUUGGGUUUUUAACUUAGGUUUGGGUGGCGGACGGGUGAGUAACGCGUAAAGAACUUGCCUCACAGCUAGGGACAACAUUUAGAAAUGAAUGCUAAUACCUAAUAUUAUGAUAAUAGGGCAUCCUAUAAUUAUGAAAGCUAUAUGCGCUGUGAGAGAGCUUUGCGUCCCAUUAGCUAGUUGGAGAGGUAACGGCUCACCAAGGCGAUGAUGGGUAGCCGGCCUGAGAGGGUGAUCGGCCACAAGGGGACUGAGACACGGCCCUUACUCCUACGGGAGGCAGCAGUGGGGAAUAUUGGACAAUGGACCGAGAGUCUGAUCCAGCAAUUCUGUGUGCACGAUGAGGUUUUUCGGAAUGUAAAGUGCUUUCAGUUGGGAAGAAAGAAAUGACGGUACCAACAGAAGAAGUGACGGCUAAAUACGUGCCAGCAGCCGCGGUAAUACGUAUGUCACGAGCGUUAUCUGGAUUUAUUGGGCGUAAAGCGCGUCUAGGUGGUUAUAUAAGUCUGAUGUGAAAAUGCAGGGCUCAACUCUGUAUUGCGUUGGAAACUGUAUAACUAGAGUACUGGAGAGGUAAGCGGAACUACAAGUGUAGAGGUGAAAUUCGUAGAUAUUUGUAGGAAUGCCGAUGGGGAAGCCAGCUUACUGGACAGAUACUGACGCUGAAGCGCGAAAGCGUGGGUAGCAACAGG
rnacentral:rRNA from 1 species